CCUACGGGUGGCAGCAGUGGGGGAUAUUGCACAAUGGGGGAAACCCUGAAGCAGCAAAGCCGCGUGAGUGAAGAAGGUCUUAGGAUUGUAAAACUCUGUUCUUGGUGAAGAUAAUGACGGUAGCCAAGGCGAAAGCUCCGGCUAACUACGUGCCAGAAGCCGCGGUAAUACGUAGGGAGCGGGCGUUGUCCGGAUUUACUGGGUGUAAAGGGUGCGAAGGCGGCUAUGCAAGUCAGGCGGGAAAGCUAGGGGCUCAACCCCGAAACUGCGCUUGAAACUGUGGAGCUUGAGUGAAGUAGAGGCAGGCGGAAUGCCCGGUGUAGCGGUGAAAUGCGUAGAGAUCGGGAGGAACACCAGUGGCGAAGGCGGCCUGCUGGGCUUUAACUGACGCUCAGGCACGAAAGCAUGGGUAGCAAACAGGAUUAGAUACCCGUGUAGUC
rnacentral:rRNA from 1 species